rnacentral:rRNA from 1 species
UACGUAGGUGGCAAGCGUUAUCCGGAAUUAUUGGGCGUAAAGAGGGAGCAGGCGACAUGAUAAGUUUGAAGUGAAAGCGUGGAGCUCAACUCCAUACAGCUUCGAAAACUGUCAAGUUAGAGUACGAGAGAGGUGAACGGAACUCCAUGUGUAGCGGUGAAAUGCGUAGAUAUAUGGAAGAACACCAGUGGCGAAGGCGGUUCACUAGCUCGAAACUGACGCUCAGUCCCGAAAGCCAGGGUAGCAAACG